UACGUAGGUGGCAAGCGUUGUCCGGAUUUACUGGGCGUAAAGAGCGCGCAGGCGGUCUUUCAAGUCGCGUGUGAAAGCCCCCGGCUCAACUGGGGAGGGUCACGCGAUACUGAUCGACUCGAAGGCAGGAGAGGGUAGUGGAAUUCCCGGUGUAGUGGUGAAAUGCGUAGACAUCGGGAGGAACACCAGUGGCGAAGGCGACUACCUGGCCUGUUUCUUGACGCUGAGGCGCGAAAGCUAGGGGAGCAAACGGG
rnacentral:rRNA from 1 species